AAAAGGCUAUUCACUAGACUGCUGUUAUGAAUGAAUUGAAUAUUUUAAUAUUUAUUCAUUUCCUACGCUUUGAGUUGAGCAUCUCAUUUGCAACUCGCUGUAUUUAGCAUGAAAACUAUAUAUAGCACACACCACAAUGCCCUUUCUAUCACUGCAAUGUGAAAUCAAUGAACAUAUCAGAGACUUCUUGAUAUUUUUUUUUCAAGUUUUGGGAAGAAAACGUAAAAUAUGGGUAGUGUACAAGCCAAAAUGAUUUUAUUUGGUGAAUUUAUUGAAUAAAACUACAGUAGCAACUGAAAAACAAGAAAAUUUAUAGCUCAGUCUCUUAUUGAGCUUAGUGCGACAGUGGAAGCUGAAGACCAUUGGAAACGGACACCACUUUAUCUGGCAGCUCAAAAUGGUCGUGAGAAAGUAGUUUGGGCUCUUAUUCAACUUUGGGCAAAUAUGAAUGCUGAAGACGAUUUGAAACAGACACCCCACCAGAUAGCCGUUAAAAGAGGUUUUCCGAAAUUGGCCCAAAUCUUGGAUGAAGCUGAAGAAAAACGAUGAAUAAAUAGAAUUUUCCCGAACUUUUCUGUACUGCUGUCCGUACUUUUUGUUGUUUUUGUCAAUUUUCUUGAAAUAAAGGCAAUAUAAAUCUA